ACUUAGAAGUAGCUCAGUUGGUAAACCAUGAGACUUUUAAUCCCAGGGUUGUGGGUUCGAGUGCCACGUUGGGUG